GACUUGACAUCUCCUGAAUUACUCUUAAUCGAGGAAGUCCCUUCGGGGACAGGAAGACAGGUGGUGCAUGGUUGUCGUCAGCUCGUGUCGUGAGAUGUUGGGUUAAGUCCCGCAACGAGCGCAACCCUUAUUGUUAGUUGCUACUAUUAAGUUAAGCACUCUAACGAGACUGCCGCGGUUAACGUGGAGGAAGGUGGGGAUGACGUCAAAUCAUCAUGCCCCUUAUGUCUAGGGCUACACACGUGCUACAAUGGCUGGUACAACGAGCAGCAAACCCGCGAGGGGGAGCAAAACUUGAAAGCCAGUCCCAGUUCGGAUUGUAGGCUGAAACUCGCCUACAUGAAGUUGGAGUUGCUAGUAAUCGCGAAUCAGCAUGUCGCGGUGAAUACGUUCCCGGGUCUUGUACACACCGCCCGUCACACCAUGAGAGCCGGUAACACCCGAAGCCCGUGAGGUAACCGUAAGGAGCCAGCGGUCGAAGGUGGGAUUGGUGAUUGGGGUGAAGUCGUAACAAGGUCGCCGUAGGAGAACCUGCGGCUGGAUCACCUCCUUUCUAGGGA
rnacentral:rRNA from 1 species